UUACACAUGCAGUCGAGCGGGGAGAUGUAGCUUGCUACUUUUCCUAGCGGCGGACGGGUGAGUAAUGCUUAGGAAUCUGCCUAUUAGUGGGGGACAACAUUCCGAAAGGAAUGCUAAUACCGCAUACGCCCUACGGGGGAAAGCAGGGGAUCUUCGGACCUUGCGCUAAUAGAUGAGCCUAAGUCAGAUUAGCUAGUUGGUGGGGUAAAGGCCUACCAAGGCGACGAUCUGUAGCGGGUCUGAGAGGAUGAUCCGCCACACUGGGACUGAGACACGGCCCAGACUCCUACGGGAGGCAGCAGUGGGGAAUAUUGGACAAUGGGCGAAAGCCUGAUCCAGCCAUGCCGCGUGUGUGAAGAAGGCCUUUUGGUUGUAAAGCACUUUAAGCGAGGAGGAGGCUACUUGGAUUAAUACUCUAGGAUAGUGGACGUUACUCGCAGAAUAAGCACCGGCUAACUCUGUGCCAGCAGCCGCGGUAAUACAGAGGGUGCGAGCGUUAAUCGGAUUUACUGGGCGUAAAGCGUGCGUAGGCGGCUUCUUAAGUCGGAUGUGAAAUCCCUGAGCUUAACUUAGGAAUUGCAUUCGAUACUGGGAAGCUAGAGUAUGGGAGAGGAUGGUAGAAUUCCAGGUGUAGCGGUGAAAUGCGUAGAGAUCUGGAGGAAUACCGAUGGCGAAAGCAGCCAUCUGGCCUAAUACUGACGCUGAGGUACGAAAGCAUGGGGAGCAAACAGGAUUAGAUACCCUGGUAGU
rnacentral:rRNA from 1 species